rnacentral:snRNA from 1 species
UGUCCUCCAUAGGAGGUCUAUAUUGAGCAGAUUCUUUUUGGUAUUGGGUGGUGGAACCAGAGCGUGCUCCAUCCACUCCAUGCAUUGACCUGGUAUUGCAGUGCUUCCAGGACUGGUGC